rnacentral:lncRNA from 1 species
GGGGGGGGGGGGGGGGCACCUCCAUCCGCGCCCGCACUUUGUCCACUAAUCCGAUCCUAUUCGGUUUCAUUUGUGCAAGUGUGCCUCUUAUUUAUUUUUUUAUUGGCGAAGGUAUUUGAUUUUGAACUUCAUUUGGUCAACUCUCCGACAGCUGGCCAUUCCUCGAAACUACAAAAUACUAGAUAACAAAUAAUUAAUUAAAAUUCCCUAUUUACCCACUAGUAACUAAAAUAAUGUUCGCCUAAAUAAACUAAGAGCACUCCCAGCAGAAAUCUCAAAAUUAUGCUUCUAUAUUCCUUCCUAAAGCUUCUCUAUUUAAUUUUAGUAUCUCAAUUUUAUAAAUGUAUACACCAGAUCUCCUAUUUUCUACAUAAAAACAAUAAUUAUGUGUGGGCCCUAUUAAUUAUAAGUUUAAAAUAAAUUUAGGGUGGAUGUAAAUUUAAGAUUGAAUUUAGGUAGAUGUAAAUUUUUUUGUGGGCCCCAUCCAAUUUAGGGGAUCUGCUGGAUGCAUUUUUUAUCUUAUUUUCAAUUGUUUUAGCCUAAAUUUAGAGUUAGUGAUGCAUUUAGGUGAUCUGUUGAAAGUGCUAUNNNNNNNNNNNNNNNNNNNNNNNNNNNNNNNNNNNNNNNNNNNNNNNNNNNNNNNNNNNNNNNNNNNNNNNNNNNNNNNNNNNNNNNNNNNNNNNNNNNNNNNNNNNNNNNNNNNNNNNNNNNNNNNNNNNNNNNNNNNNNNNNNNNNNNNNNNNNNNNNNNNNNNNNNNNNNNNNNNNNNNNNNNNNNNNNNNNNNNNNNNNNNNNNNNNNNNNNNNNNNNNNNNNNNNNNNNNNNNNNNNNNNNNNNNNNNNNNNNNNNNNNNNNNNNNNNNNNNNNNNNNNNNNNNNNNNNNNNNNNNNNNNNNNNNNNNNNNNNNNNNCCCUACCCAAACACCUGGCCCAAACCGGCAUCCCAAAAAUCCUCUCUUCUUUUUCUCCUCUUUUCUCCCCCCACGCGCCUCACCUUUUUUUCUUUUUCUCUUCUUCUUCCCCCAUUUAUGCAACUUCCAAUUUUUUUUAAUCAAUGCGUGAUAUUCACGCGUUUCUCUCUCUCCUCCCCGUGCCACGACUCUCCCAUCAAACUGAGGCCGUGCCGCUGCGGCUCCCCAGCGUGCGUGGCACACCAUUUUCUCGUCUCGAUGCGGCUCUCCAGAUGAGCGUUGGGGAUGCUCUUGUAAGAAUAGGACAUGAUAAAGUCCCUAGCUUUAAAAAAAAUACAUGUUAAAUCUUGUUCUUUCAAUUGGGUUUUUGCACUUUUUAGUUUACUAUUGAACAUUAAGGGUGCGUUUUCUUUUGUUGUAAAUUUAUCAUGGAAAAAAGAGGGAUAAACAAAAAUAUUUCACCUUUUAAAUUCUUCUUUUCUUUUCUCUCAUUUCUACAAAAUAGAAUUUGAUCCUUCAUUUUCACUACAAAUGAAUGAUAAUAUUAUCACACCAAAAAUGAAGGGAUAAUAUUAUCCAUCAUUUGUAGUGAAAAAGAAGAGUCAAAUUCUAUUUUGUAGGAAAUGAGGGAAAAGAAAUGAAAGAUUUAAAGAGUGAAAUUUUGUUUAUGCCUUAUUUUUCUAUGAUAAAUUUACAACCAAAGAGAAUGCACCACCUUAAUACUUAUUGGUGAAACGAGAAACCAACACCUAAACUAGAAAGCAAUAAACGAGACAAGAUUUACGUGGUUCGGUCGAGAAGACCUACGUCCACGGGGGUUUUGGGGGUUUUUCACUGUAAUCGAGAGAGUAUUUUACAAUUUACAGGUUGUAGGCUCGAAAAAUGACUAUCCCCUAAAUGAGAGCUAAAAUGAGCUAUUUAUAGGAAAUGGAGAAAGUAAAGGCCCAUAUAUUAACCCUCUAGCCCUAAAUAAUUGGGCCCAAGCCCCUAUUACAUGAGCUUCGCUCUUUAAUCGAACCGAGAGUCGAGCUGCGCUGCUGUAAUAAUUCCCUGUCAAGUCCAACUGAACCAAAUAUUCAUAAUAAUAAUAGCAUUAAUAAUAAAGAUAAAAAGGAAANUUACAUGAGCUUCGCCUUUAAUCGAACCGAGAGUCGAGCUGCGCUGCUGUAAUAAUUCCCUGUCAAGUCCAACUGAACCAAAUAUUCAUAAUAAUAAUAGCAUUAAUAAUAAAGAUAAAAGGAAAAUACUGUAGCCUUGUUUAGCACAGCGCUGAUGCAUAUUUCAGUCCUCAUCACUUAUACUUUUGUAUUCUUAUCAAAUUGGGAUUUUUUCUUUUUUGAGAAUAUCAAAGUGGGCUCUUGAUCGUUCAUUUGUCAAGACUUAGUCUUUGUAUUUUCAUUUGAGUACACAAGUCUUUAUUUUUUUACAAAAAAUUGGAUACAAUUGAUUAUACCGUACACUCGGAUGGCACCUUGAUCCACAUUUUGAUCCGAACUUGCAUCCUGAUCUGAACCGUGUAAAUGACAAUACUAUUCAUUUAUACAAAUGACAAAAUCUAUAAUUGACACUAUUCAGUUAUACAAAUGACACUGUGUAUAAUUAACACUAUUCGGUUUUACAAUUGACACUGCGUAUAAAUGACAUUAUUCAGUUAUACAAAUGAUAUUAUCAUUUGUAUAACUGAAUAGUGUCAAUUAUAGGCAGUGUCAUUUGUAUAACCGAAUAUUGUCAUUUACACGGUUAGUAUUAUUUGUAUAACCGAAUAGUGUCGAUAAUACAUAUGUCAUUUACAAUGUUAUAGUAUCGCAGUGUCAUUUGUAUAACCGAAUAGAGUUAAUUACAGACAAUGUCAUUUGUAUAAUCAAAUAGUAUCAUUUACAUGGUUUGGGUCUAAGAUGCAGGUUCGAAUCAGGAUGCGGAUUAGGGUGCAAUCUGAUCAAUACGGUACAACGAUUGUACCCAAGACCAGCUUCUUAGUUUUGUUUUUUGGGUAAAAUAGACGCUAAAAAAUGAAAGUGCGUUGACUCAAUUUUUACUAUUUUUUUCAAUAUUCUAUUAAUUGAUUUUUAGAAGUGCAAAGAACUCAACUCAUGAGAAUACUUGAAAGUACAACGCCAAAAUACGCUGUCAUUUUAUCUGAUGAUAAAAUAAUGAUUUUGUGUGUGUGUGUGUGUGUUAAAAUAUGUUCAAGUUUCUAACUCAUAAUUUCAAGUUGUCCAGUAUUUGCUUUGUAAGUUAUCAUCAUGUUAGUUCUCAUUUAUUUCUUGUUGCCUUUUAAUUUAAAACAUCUGGCCCAAUUUAUCACGGCCUUUUAUAAUAAAGUGAGCAAAACAUGUGGAAAAUAUUGGAGUUUUGGGCUUAGAUAUGUUUAGCCCAACAAAUAUGAAUCCAAAUGGUUUAUCAUAGCUUUCAAAUCGUUUGCCCUGUGUGGUUCAGUGGUUGGACCAUUUUGGGCAAAGCUCAUAAUAUUAGCCAUAAACUUUUCAACUAGGACGUAGCCAGGAUUUUAUUUGGGGGGAGACAAUUUAUAAUAAUUUUAAUUAUGAUUAAUUAUUUAAUUAAAAUUUAUAAUAAAUAUUAUAAUAAUUUUUGAAAUAUUUAUAUAUGACUAUCACACGUCCUAAUAACUUACAUGUUUAAAAUUAUAAAUAUUUAAUAAAACUUGAUUCAUUUACCCAACACGUACUAAUAUUUGCAUAAAAAAAUGUUUAGUAAUAAGUUGUUACAAACGAUAUGUUUUGGACUCUAACUAUUAUUUUUUUCUUUAUCUUUUUUUUUAAUAUGGCCACUUUUUUUUGGCAAUUACAUGUAUUAAUACUAUUAUUUUUUUUCUUUAUUUUAUUUAACAAUUAUUCAGUCACUUUAUUUUGGACUUUAACCAUUAAUUUUUUCGUUAUCUUUUUUUUUAAAUUAGCCAUUUUUUUUUGUCAAACGAUAUGUAUUAAUAUUUUUUUUCUUUCAUUUUAUUUUAACUAUAUCAUUAGGUCACUUUAUCUUGGACUCUAACUAUUAAUUUUUUCUUAUUUUAUUUAACAUACAAUUUCAUAUGGCUUUUAUUUUGUCAUCAAAAUAGUAUUUAUUUUUAUUUUUAUUUUUAAAUAUGGCCUACUUUUUUUGGAAAUGAUAUGUAAUACCUAUAAUAUAAUGUAAUAUCUAAUAAUAAAAGAUAUUUCUUAAUUGCCUUUUCAUGUAAUAUCUUAUAAUAUAAUGCUCUAUAAUUUAAUUUUAAGAAAAUAUGAUUGAUCAAUGUGCUCCACAUAUGAUACUAUUUUCACAAUUGUAGUCAUUUAUUUAUUUUAUAUAUAUAUUUUUCUAUUUUGAUAUAACUAAUUUAAUAUAAUAUAUUAUCCUAUAGUAUAAUUUCAUUGAAUAAAUCAAAAUGCUCAAUGUAUGAUACUUAUUUUCAUAAUUUUAUCAAUUUUUGGAACAAAUUAUUUUUAUUAUCUUGAAUUCACUUAUAUUAUCUUAUAGUGUAUUUGUAUUGAGUUGUCGAUCUAUGUGAUCAACGCAUAACGACAUUAUUCCAAAACAAUUAUAGUCGUUUACUUUUAUUUUCUAAUUUUUAUUUCUAUGUCCCUAAUUUGCUAUGAUUUUUUUGUUAACCUACUAUACCUCUAUAACAUAAUCAAAUAAAUUAGCUACGAUGUGUUAUCAUUCGAACCAUUAAAAUCAUUUCUUCCUAUUUUUAUUUAUUUAUUUCAAGUUCCACUUAUGAAAUAAUCGAAGAAAGUAGCUAACGUCAUUUAUCAUUCAUACCAUUAUAAAAUUCCUUCCUAUUUUAUAUAUAUAUUUUUAUUUCAUAUUCACUAAUUUAUAAUAUCCUAUUAUAUAAUUUCAUUGAGCAAACGAUCGAUGUGCUUAAUGUAUGUUAGCCAUUUGUUUUUAUUUUUAUUAUUUCGAGUUUACUAAUUUAUUAUAAUAUAUUUUCUUAUACUAUUAGUGUAAUCGAACCGAGCCGAACCGAAUAGUGGUGUGCUCAAGUUUGGUUUGUUUAGUAUCGAAUCGAAUCUCGAACUUUACGUACCGAAUACUUUGAGGCUCAUGAGCCUAAUCGAACCUAUACGAACUUUCUAAAUUUAUAUUUAUAUUCAAAAUAUUGAUUAUUUUAUUUUAAAAAUAAAUUAUUUUAUUCAAAAUAAUAAAUAUAUUAAUUAUUUUCUUAUAACAAAUAAAAUUAAUUAGAGAUUUAAUACAAUUAUUAUUAAUUUUAGUGGAUAAAUAUAAGUUGUGUCUACUAAUAAUUUAUAUUUUUCAAGCUGAAUCACUUGACGAACAUGUUCACGAGCUAACGAGCCGAAUACUACUAAGCUCAAGUUUGGUUUGUUUAUUUAUCGAGCUUCUCUAAACGAACUUGAACGAACUUUUUUCGAGCCGAGCUCCGAAUUGUUCGCGAGCGGCUUGGUUUGUUUACAGCCCUAAGUAUAUUUGUAUUGAAUUGUCGAUCCAUGUGACAACGAAUGACACUAUUCCAAAAUAAUUAUAGUCAUUUAUUUUUAUUUUCUAAUUUUUAUUUCUUCUUCCCUAAUUUGUUAUGAUUUUUUGUUAACAUAUACUUUUAUAAAAUAAUCAAAGAAAGUAGUUAGCGCGUGUUAUCAUUUGAACUAUUAGUAUAAUACUUUCAUAUUUUGUAUUUUAUAUUUUAUAUUUUAUAUUUUAAAUUCACUAAUUUAUUAUAAUAUAAUGUCCUAUAUCUAUUGAGCAAUCGAUCAAUGUGCUCAAAGUCAGACAUUAUUUUAUAAUUCUACUCAUUUAUUUCUAUUAUUUCGACUUCACUAAUUUAUUAUAAUAUAUUAUUGUAUAGUAUAUUUCUAUUGAGUUGUCGAUCAAUGUGCUCAUAUUGUCAUUCACUUUUUAUUUUCUACUUCUCUAAUUUGCUAUGAUUUUUUCGUUUAGCUAUUCCAAAAAUUAUAUACUUUAAAUAUGUAACUAAUUAUUCAUCUUUAAAUUAAUAUUAAUACAAAAUCUACUUUUGACAAUAAAAAAAAAAUCAAAGAGUCCUAAAAUGGAUUAAUCGUAUUCCUCUUAAUGGCAUAAUAGUUAUUGUAAUAAAAAAACAUGCAAAUAAAACAAUAAAAUUGAUAUCUUAUAAAAAUAUAUAAAUAUAUCAUUAUUAUAAAAGAUAAGAAAUAAACAAAUACAUAAGAAAAUCGAAAACUCCAAAUUUAUGUGAAUGGAGUUUUUAUGAUGAUGGAGUUAAACAAUUGCGCCUAAAAAAGGAUAGUUAAACAAUUUGUGGGAUUGAUUGAUAUAAUCGAAAGAAAUAAGGUUUUAAUUAUUAUGGAAAGAUUCUGGGUAAUCUUUUCCUUUGUAGUAUCAUGGAUAUUUAUGUAAAAUGUAAAUUCAAAUAAAUAAAAUUAAUUUUUUUAGAGUUUGAAAAUAUGUAAAAUGAUAAAAAGUCCAAUUAUGUGUGCACAUAUUAUGUGUGUUUAGCAGUACUCAUAUAUAUAUAUAUAUAUAUAUUAAGAAUGGUAAUUACUCUAUGAUCCAUCCUUUCCAUAUAUAUAGGAAUGUUAAUAUCAAAUUUUAGCUGUGUCAGCACUAAUUCCAACUUCCAAGCAUGAAGAUUCGUCCUAGGGUAUCAUUUAAAAAUUGAAAUUGGGGAAAGUGCAAUAUAUACCCGUUUGAUGAUGGUAAAAUUUGAUUAUAAUUUUAGGGCGGGUUUGCUUUUUAUCCCUCUAAAUGGAGGGGUAAUAAAAAUUUAUGCCUUUAAAUAUUUGUUUUUUAUUCUACAUUUUACACAAACACCAUUUUUUCCUUCCUUAUUUUCACUUCAAGGAGGGAUAAUAUUAUCACACCAAAAUGGAGGGAUAAUAUUAUCCCUCCUUGAAGUGAAAAUAAGGAAGAAAAAAUAGUGUUUGUGUAAAAUGUGGGAUAAAAAAAUAAACAUUUAAAACCAUAAAUUUUUAUUAUCCCUCCAUUGCAAACUCACCCUUAUUUUUUAUUAUUCGUUGCAGGAAAGCAGUGGAGAUCUGGGACGACCUUCAGAUUUGGCUUGGACUCUCAACGGUGAGACCGAAUAAUGUCGAAGCACACUUCCUUUCCUUCGUACACUUGAGUGGGGAGAAAAGGAUCAGGAAACUUUUGAUGACAAUUUGGGUGUGUAAUGUUUGGUUGAUCUGGCGAAGGAGAAACGAAGACAGGUUCGAGAUCGAGGAAAAUGAAAAGGAAAAGAAAAGUUUGCUUGCGGAGAUUCAAUGCAGAGUUUGGAGUUGGAAUAAAUGUUUUGAUAUUCUUUCAAAAGAGCUUCCUUUCCCGGAUUGGUGCUCUAAUGAUCUUGUGAACUCUCUCCUGUAAUUCGGUUCGGUACCUCUGGUACCUCUGUUUCUCUUUAUAAAAUUCCCUUUUUCUGAUCAAAAAAAAAAACUCACCCUUAUUUUUCUGUUUCUAUCCAUCUAUCGAACAAUGAGAAAUAAAAAAUAAAAUGUGAAGUUGGAUAACGGUAAAAAUUAUCAGAUACGUGAACUAAUCUCGAUCUAAGUUCAUCUUAAUAUAUAUUUAAAUCGUAAAACGGUCAUUUCAAUAUCUACCCAUUAAAUCUAUAGAAAUGCAAAAUCAAUUACGAAUUUUCUUUUCUAGCUAGUGGUCCCGAGCUCCGCAUGUGAAAUGUAGAAUUAUUUAUUUCCAGAAAAAGAAAAUUUUGAAUUAUAUGGUUGAUAGGAAUUCAGCUGUCCAAUUUUGUGAACGUUACACGAUUUUUAUAUUCGAAUAUAAAAGUCGCAAAAAACUAAGGCGAAAGACGCGCUUUUUCUUUACGCCCUUUUUCUUAAUUAAUCUUUUUGAGCGGCGGAAUAGUCGGUUGCUCAUGUGCUAGAUUCUACUGAUGGCUGACGUCACCCCUCACCAAUUCAAUUAUCAUAAAUAAUGUUUCGCAAAAUUAUUGUUAUUUUUUUUUUUCAAUUAGCUAAAUUUUGCUUUGAUAUUUAAAGUGCAGUACAUGGCAUUUUGGUAAAGAAUUGUUUCGAGAUAGUGGACCACCGAACUAUUUCUUGAUUGGUAUCCGAUGUUGGUAUGCUACAAAAUUAAUUAAAUAAACAAAUAAAUAAAAUCAACUUUUUCGACAAAGUUAAAGACAAGUCAUUUUUUUAAAAGAAGUAAAUUAUAAUUUACUUUUUCUAACAUUUUACGUUACAUUCUUUUUUGUAAAUAGCAUACUAUAUAAAAAGUCGGUGCUUGAUCAAAGUUACAUUCACAAUUUCAUCAGAAAAAUCCUAGUUUCAAUUUAAAAUUCAAUAAUGGAAUUUAGUUUUUGAUAGUGAUUGUUCCCUAAUUUUAGGUAUUUUCAAAGAUAUUGGGCGGUGUAAUUUGUUAAUAUCGUGAUAUUUAAGAUAAACAUAUAAUACUUUUUUUUUUUGAUCAGUAAAGUAAAACUUUUAUUGAAAGAAAAUGGAUCAAGGCAUCAGGAAUGCCAAUCAAAACAAUAAAACAAGUUUAAAGUCUUUGGAACACCAAGAAGUAAAAGGAAUUCCUAACUCCACGAUUUUGUAGGCCUCGUUCCAACUCCAAAGUCUCCCCUUAAUCUGUAAUACAAGUCUAUCAAUAUCCCAAGCAUUGUCCUGAAAACGACUAUCAUUCCUGCUUUCCCAGAGCAACCACACUGUUCCCACCCACAAAGCUUUAAGCAGUCUUCUUUCUCUCUUCUUUUUCCUAGCCGCGAUGAAAGAAAUGAAGUGUUGAAAGAUACCUCUCGGAUUUGCCGUUUUGAUGUCGAGCCAUUGAAAGAUCUGAUCCCAUACCGCCGCUGCUUUCGAGCAAUGGAGGAACAAGUGUUCCGUCGUUUCCUCACUGAAACACAUGCAUUGCACCAUCUCUCCUCCACACUGAUCUGAACAUUUCUUCUACUCAAAUUAUCACAUGUUGCCAAUCUGUUUCUAAGACAUCUCCAUGCCGUCACCUUGGCUUUAUUUGGUGUUGGGGCCUUCCAAACCUUUGCCAUCUCCAAAGGUAAAACUUGUUGCUCCUGUCUUGUUUUUGCCACAAUUUCAUAUGCCGACUUGAUUGUGAAGCAUCCAUCUGAUGUCGCCUUCCAGUUCCAUCCGUCUGUUACAUCUACACAAGGAGCAAAAUCAGCAAUCACCAACCGGAGAUCCUCCACAAGUCCUUUCUCCCUCUCCCUUAACUCCCUCCUCCACUCGACCCUCCAUACCCACGACCCGUGAAAAGUAUUUAUUCAAUCAAAUUUAACAAAAGAAAGUAAUUAACCGACUCGUGAAAAGUAGGGAGCACGAUGUACAAAACUAUCUUCAGUAUAUGAUCAAGUGUUUUUAUUGUUAGUGAAUAUGUAAAAUUUAAUUUAUUAAAAAAUAGGAGCUCGUUGUAUUGGAUUUAAGAGAAUANUUUCUACAAAAUAGAUUUUGAUCCUUCAUUUUCACUACAAAUGAAUGAUAAUAUUAUCACACCAAAAAUGAAGGGAUAAUAUUAUCCCUCCUUUGUAGUGAAAAAGAAGAGUCAAAUUCUAUUUUGUAGGAAAUGAGGGAAAAUAAAUGAAAGAUUUAAAGAGUGAAAUUUUGUUUAUGCCUCAUUUUUCCAUGAUAAAUUUACAACCAAAGAAAAUGUACCACCUUAAUACUUAUACUUUUGUAUUCUUAUCAAAUUGGGAUAUUUUCUUUUUUAAGAAUAUCAAAGUGGGCUCUUGAUCGUUCAUUUGUCAAGACUUAGUCUUUGUAUUUUCAUUUGAGUACACAAGUCUUUAUUUUUUCACAAAAAUUUGGGUACAAUUGAUUAUACCGUACAAUCGGGUGGCACCUUGAUCCACAUUUUGAUCCGAACUUGCAUCCUGAUCUGAACCGUGUAAAUGACAAUACUAUUCAUUUAUACAAAUGACAAAAUCUAUAAUUGACACUAUUCAGUUAUACAAAUGACACUGUGUAUAAUUAACACUAUUCGGUUUUACAAUUGACACUGCGUAUAAAUGACAUUAUUCAGUUAUACAAAUGACAUUAUCAUUUGUAUAACCAAAUAGUGUCAAUUAUAGGCAGUGUCAUUUGUAUAACCGAAUAUUGUCAUUUACACGGAUAGUAUUAUUUGUAUAACCGAAUAGUGUCAAUAAUACAUAUGUCAUUUACAAUGUUAUAGUAUCGCAAUGUCAUUUGUAUAACCAAAUAGAGUUAAUUACAGACAAUGUCAUUUGUAUAAUCAAAUAGUAUCAUUUACAUGGUUUGGGUCAAGAUGCAGGUUCGAAUCAGGAUGCGGAUUAGGGUGCAAUCUGAUCAAUACGGUACAACCGAUUGUACCCAAGACCAGCUCUUGUUUUGUUUUUUUGGGUAAAAUAGACGCUAAAAAAUGAAAGUGCGUUGACUCAAUUUUUACUAUUUUUUUCAAUAUUCUAUUAAUUGAUUUUUAGAAGUGCAAAGAACUCAACUCAUGAGAAUACUUGAAAGUACAACGCCAAAAUACGCUGUCAUUUUAUCUGAUGAUAAAAUAAUGAUUUUGUGUGUGUGUGUGUGUGUUAAAAUAUGUUCAAGUUUCUAACUCAUAAUUUCAAGUUGUCCAGUAUUUGCUUUGUAAGUUAUCAUCAUGUUAGUUCUCAUUUAUUUCUUGUUGCCUUUUAAUUUAAAACAUCUGGCCCAAUUUAUCACGGCCUUUUAUAAUAAAGUGAGCAAAACAUGUGGAAAAUAUUGGAGUUUUGGGCUUAGAUAUUGUUUAGCCCAACAAAUAUGAAUCCAAAUGGUUUAUCAUAGCUUUCAAAUCGUUUGCCCUGUGUGGUUCAGUGGUUGGACCAUUUUGGGCAAAGCUCAUAAUAUUAGCCAUAAACUUUUCAACUAGGACGUAGCCAGGAUUUUAUUUGGGGGGGGACAAUUUAUAAUAAUUUUAAUUAUGAUUAAUUAUUUAAUUAAAAUUUAUAAUAAUAAUUUUUGAAAUAUUUAUAUAUGACUAUCACACGUCCUAAUAACUUACAUGUUUAAAAUUAUAAAUAUUUAAUAAAACUUGAUUCAUUUACCCAACACGUACUAAUAUUCGCAUAAAAAAUGUUUACUAAUAAGUUGUUACAAAUAAAAUAUGAGGUGGGAAUAUCUAAUUAAAUUAUAUUAACAAGUAAUAUUUCAAUAAUCACACAAUAACAAAAAUUGAAUAUGUGAAAAAGUUCAAACACACAAGCUAUUAUAUAAAAAAAUCAUAGAGAAUUCAAGAUACAAAAAUAAAUUAUGAAUGUGUUUGUAAAGGAUUCUACAUUUGAACUCAAAUUUUAUAUUUUUAUAAGUCACUACAAAAAAUUACCCUAUAAAAAAUCCACUAAAAAAAAUUAAUUGAAAGUGAUGAUAUGAAACCAAAAAAAAUGAGAAAGAGAUACAUGUGUGGAUUUGAGUUACUUGUUCAGCCACUUCUCAACAUUACUAGGGCCAUAGGGUAAUUUGAAACUUUUUUAUUUAUUAAAGAUAGUACAUUUAUUCUACAUUUUACACAAACACCAUUUUUUCUUCUUUAUUUUCACUUCAAAGAGGAAUAAUAUUAUCACACCAAAAUGGAGGAAUAAAAAAAUAAACAUUUAAAGCCAUAAAUUUUUGUUAUCCCUCCAUUUAGAGGAAUAAAAAGCAAACUCACCUUUAUUUUUUCUGUUUCUAUCCAUCUACCUAACAAUGAGAAAUAAAAAAUAAAAUGUGAAGUUGGAUAACGGUAAAAAUUAUCAGAUACGUGAACUAAUCUCGAUCUAAGUUCAUCUUAAUAUAUUUAAAUCGUAAAACGGUCAUUUCAAUAUCUACCCAUUAAAUCUAUAGAAAUGCAAAAUCAAUUACGAAUUUUCUUUUAUAGCUAGUGGUCCCGAGCUCCGCAUGUGAAAUGUAGAAUUAUUUAUUUCCAGAAAAAGAAAAUUUUGAAUUAUAUGGUUGAUAGGAAUUCAGCUGUCCAAUUUUAUGAACGUUACACGAUUUUUAUAUUCGAAUAUAAAAGUCGCAAAAAACUAAGGCGAAAGACGCGCUUUUUCUUUACGCCCUUUUUCUUAAUUAAUCUUUUUGAGCGGCGGAAUAGUCGGUUGCUCAUGUGCUAGAUUCUACUGAUGGCUGACGUCACCCCUCACCAAUUCAAUUAUCGUAAAUAAUGUUUCGCAAAAUUAUUGUAAUUUUUUUUUUUCAAUUAGCUAAAUUUUGCUUUGAUAUUUAAAGUGCAGUACACAUUUUGGUAAAGAAUUGUUUCGAGAUAGUGGACCACCGAACUAUUUCUUGAUUGGUAUCCGAUGUUGGUAUGCUACAAAAUUAAUUAAAUAAACAAAUAAAUAAAAUCAACUUUUUCGACAAAGUUAAAGACAAGUCAUUUUUUUAAAAGAAGUAAAUUAUAAUUUACCUUUUCUAACAUUUUACGUUACAUUCUUUUCUGUAAAUAGCAUACUAUAUAAAAAGUCGGUGCUUGAUCAAAAUUACAUUCACAAUUUCAUCAGAAAAAUCCUAGUUUCAAUUUAAAAUUCAAUAAUGGAAUUUAGUUUUUGAUAGUGAUUGCUCCCUAAUUUUAGGUAUUUUCAAAGAUAUUGGGCGGUGUAAUUUGUUAAUAUCGUGAUAUUUAAGAUAAACAUAUAAUACUGUCAGUUCAGAAAAGUAUUUAUUCAAUCAAAUUUAACAAAAGAAAGUAAUUAACCGACUUGUGAAAAGUAGGGAGCACGAUGUACAAAACUAUCUUCAGUAUAUGAUCAACUGUUUUUAUUGUUAGUGAAUAUGUAAAAUUUAAUUUAUUAAAAAAUAGGAGCUCGUUGUAUAAUUGGAUUUAAGAGAAUAAUGAUUGUUGUCAGCUGGGGUUUCUGGCAGAUCACCAAAAUCUUUAACAAACUGGCAGUAAUUUUAAAUGGAUUCUACAAGAGCGUAUUAUGGUUUUUCCAUCUUUCUUAAAUGGAUUCAAUCUACAAAACCGUAUUAUGGUUUGUCCAUCUUUCUUAAAGAACUCUAUUUUAUCUAAUCUCUUAAAUGUUGAAGAAUUAAACUCCUUUUGUUAUGAAAAAAUAGUUUUAAGAUGGAGUGAUACGAGUUUUAAUGCCGAUGGGCGAUAGAGUAUAUUACUUUUUUCGUCCCGUGAAGGUUGAACAGUACUAUUUCUUUUCAGGUUAUCCCGCUAAAUUUGAGCAUUUCUCUUUUAUGGCAAUUUUUUUUCUCUUUAUUCACCUUUUUACUUUUUCACCUACCACACUUAAUACACAAAGUACUAACUCUUUAAACUCCGUGUUGAAAAGAAAUUGCUCGAGUUUCGCGGGACGGAGAGAGUACAUGAUUUUGGUUUGUAUGUGUUAGGGGUGUAUUGAUUUGUUUAUGGUAUAGUUAGUGUAACUACUCUAGUACGAGAUAUAAAUGAUAAAAUAGUGGAAAAUGCACAAUUUUCACUUGUUUCCUUAGGCGUUGGAUGGAAAUCAUAACACAAUAGAUAUUUGAUGCUGAUAUGACAUCAAAUAAAUCUUCACAUAAUAAUACUUCAUCCAUCCCACGAAUCUUGACACGUAUUCUUUUUUAUAUCGUCCCAUGAAUCUUGACACAUUUCUAAAUAAGGUAAUAAAUUAUUAUAUUUUCUCUUCUACUUUAUCAUUUUUAUUACUCCAUUCUUUCUCCUACUUUAUCACUUUUAUACUUUAUUAACUACACACAUAAAAUACUAAUCUACAACUUCUUAAUUCCCGUACCGAAACCAAACGUGUCAAGAUUCGUGGGACGGAGGGAGUACACUUUUAGACUCCUUCUCUUCCCAAGUUGCAUACAUUACCAAAAUCUUAAUUGCUAAUUUGAAAUCAAGCUUGCACAUGAUCUCCUAAUUAGAAAAUUAUAUGCUAAAUUACUUUCAAAUUGUAAGUUGCUUCUAAUAUCAAAACCAUCUCAAAUGUUGAGAUGGACGACGUAGGUGACGACGCAUAGCUCGACCGCAAAACUAAGUAAUCAAAUAUUAGAAAAAAUUUAAUAGUCACUCCCAAUCAUAAUUAACAUUAGUUAGAAAGUACAAGUACGUCAGGUCAAAUAAAAAAGAAAGUACCAUCAUCAUGUACAAAUCGAAAGUGCAACAUCACGAUUAUUAUUAUUAUUAUUAUUAUUAUUAUUAUUAUUAUUAUUAUUAUUAUUAUUAUAUGUACUGUACUACUUUAAUUUUCAAGUUCAAUUACUGUAUGCACAAAAAAUAAUUUUACUACAUUUAUGAACGCUGCUCACGAAGUCGCGAAAUAUUGACUUAGUUACCAAUUUUUAGCCACUUACUCCAAGGAAUAUUUCUCCGCAAAAGGGAAUUUCAAUUGCAUUAGCAAUUUUCAAGUCUAGUAAUUUUUGACGCCCUACAAGACCGUUUAAUGUUCAAUUAUAAUAAUCUAACAUAUAUAUAUUUUGUUUUUAUUUAGUAAAACUUACAAUGUUGUUAGUUAACUGUGUUGCACAGCAUAGAUUUAAAUUAAUAAACCAAAUAGAAUAAAUUGAAGAAAAACAGAACAAAAAAUGACAUAAAAGAAUAAUAAGAAAUUUUAUUAUUGAUGGAUAUGAUCAUCAUGUACAUGUGACUCCCCUAGAUAAUAAAUAUGUCCACGAGCUAUAAUCCAAGAGUCAUGUGUAAUCACCCAAAUAAUAAUAACAAUCAAACAAAUGAUCCCACUACAAAUCAAAUAAACAAACCACAAACAAAUAUAACCAAAAAUAGAAGAGAAAAUUAAACAAGGAGUAAAAUGACCACUAAGCCCCCAACAAAAGGACAAAACAAUCCCUCAUCCAAAAACAGAUCUACGCCGUCCACGUGGAGGAUCUAAACCAAAGCCACCGCCACAAGCACCGCCGCGAGAGCGGCGCCGCCAAAGGUAGCCCUGCUGACGAAGCCGCUGCUGCCGUCGGCGGGCGGUUGGUCGGCAGAUGGGCCGGCGGUGGGGCCGGCGGGGCUGGGUGAGGCUGGUGCGGGGGUGCCCGGGGCGGGGGCGGGGGACUCUCCCCCGGCGGUGGGGCCGGCCGCCGGUCCUGGGGUGGGGGCGGGGGUCGCUGGAGCCGGGGAAGGAGUGGCGGUGGGCGGCGCCAUCGGUGCUGCGGUGGGGGAGACCGUUGGUGCGCCUGCCGGUGAUUGGGCCAUGCAUGAAGUGGCCAACAGUGCCAUCACUAGGAAAAGCUUGAACCCUGUUGAUGAAGCCAUUGCUGUUUGCUACUUGCUAGAGAGAGAAAGAGUGUUUUAGAGAGAGAGAUUAUGUGAAGUUUGAAGAUGGACAAAGGCAUAUUGUAAAGUGAAGAUAUAUAUAAAAAGGAGGGAGAGAGAUUAGUGGGAAAAUAAUGAUGAGAUUCCGUGAAGAGGUAUUAAAUAAUUAAGUUUGGACAGGCAUUGCAUGUGUAGUGUAGCUCUGUUUCCACUCUGUGAAAUUAAUGACCAGAAGUCUUCUUCUUUUUUAUUUUUUAUUGGUUGUAUAUAAUGUAAUUUAAAUUAGUGUUUGUUAAGAUGUUUGCAUGUUAG